UUCAGAUUACUGUCCUAAAAUUGAAAACUCUCCUAAUAGAUUUAUUUGGAAUAAUUAUACUUCUUAUGACUGUUCUAAAGUUGUUGACUGGAAUCAAGUAGACAUUUCUCCUCAAACUUAUUUCUUGUGGAUUCAAGUGGUCUUAUUGAUGGUCAUCCUACUUUUUGUGGUGAUUGGUUUCCUUGUCCGUAGUCGAACACUGUUUACUCGUUUAAAUGUCUGUCACCACUGAUCGUGACACUAUGUAUAUAGAAGCUGUUUAGUAAUUCACCCCCACACAUCUCUGUUUGUUACAACCACUCCAACUAUACUUUAGUCUCAACAUGGACACCACCACCCGGAGAAAUUUUGAAGUUAUUCACACUCUGACUGUAUCUAGUUGUAGAAUGUUUUCUUGUUUUCAUUUUUUUUGUAAAUAAAAAUAAUAAUGUCAUCUGACAAAAUAAAACGAUUGUAUUUUAACCCAAAAUUGAGUGGGAGUUAUAGUGGAUUAAAUAAUUUUUAUAACGAAAGACAUUUAAAACUCUCCAAGAAAGAUGUGGAGAAAGAGUUACUAAAGUUACCUGAGUAUUAUCUGUACCGACCAGCAUUAAAAAAAUUCAGAAAACGACGAGUUAUGACGUAUUUCCCUAAUUGGAUUCUCACCUUUGAUCUUAUAUCAUUGUUACAAUAUAAAAAUGAAAAUAAUGGUUAUAGGUUAGUUGUCAUUUCAUAAAUGUUGAAAUACUUUAAUCAAAUAUAAAAUAAAAUAAAAAUAAAUAUUCUAGCUACA